CUCUAUGUGUCCCCAGGUGAUGCCGGUGGCAGAGGGCAGCAAGGGGACCUGCUUACCUUGCAGGGUCUCUGUCCCUGGAGGGUCCAGAGUCCUCACUGUGGGGAGGCCACAGUGGCAGCCCUUGGGACCCACCCAGGAGAUGUCACCAGUGGGGGUCCCACUCUGCCAGGGGACCCUCUGCUCCCACAGAGCAUCUUCUUGCUUGGCCUGCCAGGGGAAGGAGUGUUUCCAGCAUUUCCCUGGUCCAAGUUGGUAAGCCAGUGCCAACUGUGUGCUGUGCCUGCCACGCACCCCAGGAGCCAGAGAGCCUUGGCUCAUUUUACAGAGGGUCUGGGCUCCAGCCCUGGCUGGUGGUUGCCCACGUUGGCAGCAGGAGUGGUGGGUGACAAGGCCAGUGGGGGCACUGGAGUUUGCAGAGGUCUGACUACUGGUUAUUGGUCACCUGGAGGUUUCCUCCAUCCCUUGCCCAGACUCCCCAUCCCAGGCUCUCCUCAGGGCUCCCUCCGCUGCCCUGGCUCCUGGCGGGCGUGGAGCAGCUUGGCUGCACCGCGGGGUCUUGGCGGGGAAAGCACAGCACAGUCGUCCCCUCCACAAAGCCGCACUGUUCAGAACAAAUCCACCCAGAAUCGGGCUGCAUUUUUGUCAAGUGAUUCAUCAGCACGUGAAUGGAAAAGGCUGGAGCCCACUGAACCAGCAACCAUUCCCCGCACGGGAGCCGGCACUGGCUGCACCCGAGUUACACGGGCGGCGCGCAGGGCUGGGCUCACGGGAGGCACGGUGGCCGGGGCGAGGGGUGGCUGUGUCUGCAGUGAUCCCAGCUCACUGCUGAUACAGGAGUGGGCGCUGUCCGCAGGCAUGGCUGAGGCGCUGACCUUCCCAAGGGAUGGCAGCAGUUGGGAAAGCCCCCAGUGCAGCCAUUGCUUCCCCCAGCCCCGCACAGAACGAGUGCUGCCGGUGACUGGGGAUGGCCAUUUUGGGAAACCUCUCCACUGGUCCCUGCUCAUGUGGGUGCCACUGUCACCUUUCCAGUGUAAACUCUGUUGGCACUUGCUGGUGCCCACGUGGGGCCAUGCCCCCCUGACCUUCAGCUUAAAUAGCCUGCCUGCGUGCCCCCUCAGCCCGUGGUAUUUAUAG
rnacentral:lncRNA from 1 species